UGGGGUAUAGUUCAGUGGUAGAGCAUGUGAUAAGCAUGCACCAGAUCCUGGGUUCAAUUCCCAGUACCUUCG
rnacentral:tRNA from 1 species